rnacentral:rRNA from 1 species
UACGGAGGGUGCAAGCAUUGAUCGGAAUUAUUGGGCGUAAAGGGUGCGUAGGCGGCAAUACAAGUCGGAUGUGAAAUUCCACGGCUCAACUGUGGAGCUGCAUUCGAAACUGUAUAGCUGGAGCGUAGUUAGGGAAAACGGAAUUCCACGUGUAGCGGUGAAAUGCGUAGAUAUGUGGAAGAACACCAGUGGUGAAGACGGUUUUCUGGGCUAUAGCUGACGCUGAGGCACGAAAGCUAGGGGAGCAAACAGG